rnacentral:rRNA from 1 species
UUAAGCGACUAAGCGUACACGGUGGAUGCCCUGGCAGUCAGAGGCGAUGAAGGACGUGCUAAUCUGCGAUAAGCGUCGGUAAGGUGAUAUGAACCGUUAUAACCGGCGAUUUCCGAAUGGGGAAACCCAGUGUGUUUCGACACACUAUCAUUAACUGAAUCCAUAGGUUAAUGAGGCGAACCGGGGGAACUGAAACAUCUAAGUACCCCGAGGAAAAGAAAUCAACCGAGAUUCCCCCAGUAGCGGCGAGCGAACGGGGAGCAGCCCAGAGCCUGAAUCAGUGUGUGUGUUAGUGGAAGCGUCUGGAAAGGCGCGCGAUACAGGGUGACAGCCCCGUACACAAAAAUGCACAUGCUGUGAGCUCGAUGAGUAGGGCGGGACACGUGGUAUCCUGUCUGAAUAUGGGGGGACCAUCCUCCAAGGCUAAAUACUCCUGACUGACCGAUAGUGAACCAGUACCGUGAGGGAAAGGCGAAAAGAACCCCGGCGAGGGGAGUGAAAAAGAACCUGAAACCGUGUACGUACAAGCAGUGGGAGCACGCUUCGGCGUGUGACUGCGUACCUUUUGUAUAAUGGGUCAGCGACUUAUAUUCUGUAGCAAGGUUAACCGAAUAGGGGAGCCGAAGGGAAACCGAGUCUUAACUGGGCGUUAAGUUGCAGGGUAUAGACCCGAAACCCGGUGAUCUAGCCAUGGGCAGGUUGAAGGUUGGGUAACACUAACUGGAGGACCGAACCGACUAAUGUUGAAAAAUUAGCGGAUGACUUGUGGCUGGGGGUGAAAGGCCAAUCAAACCGGGAGAUAGCUGGUUCUCCCCGAAAGCUAUUUAGGUAGCGCCUCGUGAAUUCAUCUCCGGGGGUAGAGCACUGUUUCGGCAAGGGGGUCAUCCCGACUUACCAACCCGAUGCAAACUGCGAAUACCGGAGAAUGUUAUCACGGGAGACACACGGCGGGUGCUAACGUCCGUCGUGAAGAGGGAAACAACCCAGACCGCCAGCUAAGGUCCCAAAGUCAUGGUUAAGUGGGAAACGAUGUGGGAAGGCCCAGACAGCCAGGAUGUUGGCUUAGAAGCAGCCAUCAUUUAAAGAAAGCGUAAUAGCUCACUGGUCGAGUCGGCCUGCGCGGAAGAUGUAACGGGGCUAAACCAUGCACCGAAGCUGCGGCAGCGACGCUGAUGCGUUGUUGGGUAGGGGAGCGUUCUGUAAGCCUGCGAAGGUGUGCUGUGAGGCAUGCUGGAGGUAUCAGAAGUGCGAAUGCUGACAUAAGUAACGAUAAAGCGGGUGAAAAGCCCGCUCGCCGGAAGACCAAGGGUUCCUGUCCAACGUUAAUCGGGGCAGGGUGAGUCGACCCCUAAGGCGAGGCCGAAAGGCGUAGUCGAUGGGAAACAGGUUAAUAUUCCUGUACUUGGUGUUACUGCGAAGGGGGGACGGAGAAGGCUAUGUUGGCCGGGCGACGGUUGUCCCGGUUUAAGCGUGUAGGCUGGUUUUCCAGGCAAAUCCGGAAAAUCAAGGCUGAGGCGUGAUGACGAGGCACUACGGUGCUGAAGCAACAAAUGCCCUGCUUCCAGGAAAAGCCUCUAAGCAUCAGGUAACAUCAAAUCGUACCCCAAACCGACACAGGUGGUCAGGUAGAGAAUACCAAGGCGCUUGAGAGAACUCGGGUGAAGGAACUAGGCAAAAUGGUGCCGUAACUUCGGGAGAAGGCACGCUGAUAUGUAGGUGAGGUCCCUCGCGGAUGGAGCUGAAAUCAGUCGAAGAUACCAGCUGGCUGCAACUGUUUAUUAAAAACACAGCACUGUGCAAACACGAAAGUGGACGUAUACGGUGUGACGCCUGCCCGGUGCCGGAAGGUUAAUUGAUGGGGUCAGCGCAAGCGAAGCUCUUGAUCGAAGCCCCGGUAAACGGCGGCCGUAACUAUAACGGUCCUAAGGUAGCGAAAUUCCUUGUCGGGUAAGUUCCGACCUGCACGAAUGGCGUAAUGAUGGCCAGGCUGUCUCCACCCGAGACUCAGUGAAAUUGAACUCGCUGUGAAGAUGCAGUGUACCCGCGGCAAGACGGAAAGACCCCGUGAACCUUUACUAUAGCUUGACACUGAACAUUGAGCCUUGAUGUGUAGGAUAGGUGGGAGGCUUUGAAGUGUGGACGCCAGUCUGCAUGGAGCCGACCUUGAAAUACCACCCUUUAAUGUUUGAUGUUCUAACGUUGACCCGUAAUCCGGGUUGCGGACAGUGUCUGGUGGGUAGUUUGACUGGGGCGGUCUCCUCCUAAAGAGUAACGGAGGAGCACGAAGGUUGGCUAAUCCUGGUCGGACAUCAGGAGGUUAGUGCAAUGGCAUAAGCCAGCUUGACUGCGAGCGUGACGGCGCGAGCAGGUGCGAAAGCAGGUCAUAGUGAUCCGGUGGUUCUGAAUGGAAGGGCCAUCGCUCAACGGAUAAAAGGUACUCCGGGGAUAACAGGCUGAUACCGCCCAAGAGUUCAUAUCGACGGCGGUGUUUGGCACCUCGAUGUCGGCUCAUCACAUCCUGGGGCUGAAGUAGGUCCCAAGGGUAUGGCUGUUCGCCAUUUAAAGUGGUACGCGAGCUGGGUUUAGAACGUCGUGAGACAGUUCGGUCCCUAUCUGCCGUGGGCGCUGGAGAACUGAGGGGGGCUGCUCCUAGUACGAGAGGACCGGAGUGGACGCAUCACUGGUGUUCGGGUUGUCAUGCCAAUGGCACUGCCCGGUAGCUAAAUGCGGAAGAGAUAAGUGCUGAAAGCAUCUAAGCACGAAACUUGCCCCGAGAUGAGUUCUCCC